CCCCCGCUCAUUUCAGACCGCUGAGUCGUGUUACGUCACGAGAAGUCGCGACCGUGGCGGUGCCGUGCGGCGGUACGCCGAAUUUUCGAUGCGCGCGCGCACGAUUGACGGGCCGCGCGAUCAUCUGCGACAAUAGGAGCGAGGUCAGCCGGAUGUUUCGGAACAUGAUAAGGAAAAUUCGAUAGUCGAAGUCCAAGAACUAGCGCAUUUCGUCUCGUACAAGACGCAGUACGCUUGUUGCUUUUGAGACAUUGUAAAUUUCGUUGGACAUCUUGUAAUUUCGAAAAAAUAGGAACAGCUAUGUUGACAAUUUUUUUGAUAAUUUUUAUACAAAUUGGAAUAUUUUUCAAAAAUACUCAGAAAAUCUACAUCUUAGUAUUUUUCAUACAACUGAAUUCUGAAAUAUUCUGAGAUUUCUCAUCUCAUAAUUUCUAAAAAAAUAUUUUUAACUUUGUUGGAUUUUAUAAUUAACAUAUUUCAUUAGAAAUUAUACAAGAAAACUUAGAAAUCUUAGAAUAUUUUAUAAUUAACGUAUAAGAAAAAUUUUGAAAAAAGAUGUAAACUUUCCAAGUAUUUUUGAAACGUUUUAAUUCAUAUAAAAAAAUCGAAAUAUUUUCACCAGGAAAGUUUUCACUCCUUUCUCCUUCAUUUCUAAUUAACAGACAUUAAUCAGACUGUCCUACUUUUCCAUCAAACAUCAUAUUUGAAUUAAAAAAUUUCGCUGAAAAAUACUAUUAUAAAAAAAUUUUUUACAAAUACUUAUUAUUAAUAGUAAAAUAAAUUAUCUCUUAUUAUUUAUAAUAAAAUGUUUGUAAAAAUACUAAAAAUUGAUUUAUGAUAGCUAUUAAAAAAUUAUUAUUUAUAAAAAUACCUUAUAUAAAUUUUGCCUAGUUGUGAAUUAAUGUGAACUAUUUUUAAAUUGAAUGUCAUUGCGUUUGUUUUUAUGAGUAUGUAUGUACAUACAUCUUUUUCAACAUAAAAUUGUCCCAGUUUUGAUUAGAAAAUAUCUGGUCACAUUAUUUAUUCCGCAUUCUGAAAUUGCUUCGUUGCUAAAACUCGAAGAGAAUGACACAUCUGAUAUUAAUUAUUCAACAUGUUAAAUUAGAAUCAGUAAAAUUGUAAUUCUUUUCGUUUAUCUAACAAUUUUAAUUAAAAUGACCGAGAAAAAAUUGCUAGAUCCCGAGUAUGAGUGGAUUAUUCGAACUUGCACGAACGCCUUUAACAUUUAUCUAACAAUGACGCAUUUUAUAUUUUACGAUAACGCUUUGAGUUUGCAACCAGAAAACUCUGAAAUUUCGCUCCUAUCAUAUACGCUAUUCAUGGCGGUGUUGGAUCUUUUUGCGUACUGUAUUUACCAGUAAAUCAAUACAGUUCAUAAGCGACACCAACGAUGCAAAGAGACACAACGCAAAAGAGAAGGAUAGAAAUGGUAUGACUUUUGUAAAAAAUAUUCAAAACUUAUAUUUUAAGUCGUCUUAGUGAAAUUCCCAGUGCGGAAUUGUACAAGACGUUUUUUCUUUAUAAUCGUACUCUAAGUAUCAUAAGGGUAAAAUAGGAGAGAGAGGGAGGGUAAGGUAUACGGUAUAUAAUACAGUACUAGUCAUCUUUAUGUAUUCCAAAAAUAUUCUAGUUGUCUCUCGUUCUUUCGUUUUUUCACGCACUCUCAUCUAUCGCUUAGACAUUUCUCUCUCUUUCUCUCACACGUCCUUUCGCACUUGUUUCCUCUCCGCACUAUCUAACGUAUCUAUUGUUCAGUCAAGCCACAUACAAAGC